rnacentral:rRNA from 1 species
UACGGGGGGGGCAAGCGUUGUUCGGAAUUACUGGGCGUAAAGGGCUCGUAGGCGGCCUGCUAAGUCGAACGUGAAAUCCCCGGGCUCAACCCGGGAACUGCGUCCGAUACUGGCAGGCUUGAAUCCGGGAGAGGGAUGUGGAAUUCCAGGUGUAGCGGUGAAAUGCGUAGAUAUCUGGAGGAACACCGGUGGCGAAGGCGGCAUCCUGGACCGGCAUUGACGCUGAGGCGCGAAAGCCAGGGGAGCAAACGGG